AUGGAUACGCCGCCGCCACGGAUGGUCCUCGCGCCUGGAUCGUUCACCCAACUACUUCUAAGCUUCUCCUCCAUCCCUUCCCAAGAUCCAAAUCUCUGUUGGACCCAGCAAGAAGAACAAGAGUAUGUGGGAGAGACAGAUUGGACGGAGGGCGGAAACCAUUGCGGGGGCGGCAUCGACACCGAGGAUCAAUUUCAGUCCUCUCCCACCAUACCAGAUCCAACUUCCCCCAUCUAUGAGGCCGACGGCGAGGUGAAUUGUGAGAACGACGAUGCCAAGCUCCGCUCGCCAACGCCAGAGCUCCGCUCGCCAACGCCAGAGCUCCGCUCGCCAACGCCAGAGCUCGAUGGAUACACUUGGUCAGGAGAUGAAUGCUUGGAGUCGCCGUUGUCAGAGAAAACCAACAAGCCAAACCUGGUUCAGUCAGACCAAUCUCGUCCUAACCAAUGUCCAUGGAAGAGAAGGAUACGUCGUGGGAAAAUACCAGAUCAGCGGCAGCCUAAACAGGGAAGGGUCUGUGCGCUCGAAAAAGCAAUGCGUGAAUUUGUUCAAAGGAAGUCUGGACAAGUUGUCGCCCCUGAGAUUGGAAGAGAGUUCGACUCACUUGCGGAGGCAUUUGAAUUUUAUAAUCUUUAUUCUUGGGAGAUUGGGUUUGGCAUCAGAUAUGGUCAAUCUAGGACAAAUGCAAAGAAGAGCAGAACCGUUCAGGACAUCGUUUGCGGCUGUGCGGGAAGUCCAAAGAAAGAAAACACAAAGUCAAUAGCCUGCAACUGCCAAGCCUUGAUCAGGCUACACCGCACAGCCGACAAUGGAUGGUAUAUACAUGAUUUUAGAUCUGAACACAACCACCAUUUGUCCUCAUCGUGUGGCGAGAAACUACAUUGGCCAUCACACAGGAACAUUGACACACACACAAAAGAUAUUGUCAAGCACUUGAGGAGCAACAACAUUGGGAUAACCAAGGUUUUUUGUGUCAUCGCAAGCUUCUUUGGAUCAAUGGAGAGUGUACCAUUUAACAAGAGAGCUCUCAAGUACAUGUGCAAGAGGAUGAACCAAGAAACUGCAGAUGAUGACAUAAGGAAAACAGUUCAGCUCUUCUUUGAACUUAAGAAGAAUGACCCAAUGUUUGCUGACAGUGUUCUUGUCGACGGCGACAGCAAGAUUCAGGCUCUUAUGUGGACCAAUGGAAGGAGUAGAUACCAAUACAAAAUGUUUGGCGAUGCAAUCACAUUCGACACAACAUAUCGUACAAACUAG
rnacentral:rRNA from 1 species